UACUGCUGCUGCAUCGGCCAGCGAGGAGGCUGAGGACGCCAGAUCUGGUGACCCGGGCCUCUCCGCUGGUGGAUCCAGCUGGCCGA
rnacentral:pre_miRNA from 1 species